rnacentral:rRNA from 2 species
GCCCCAGUAACGGCGAGUGAAGCGGCAAGAGCUCAAAUUUGAAAUCUGGCCCCUCUGGGGUCCGAGUUGUAAUUUGCAGAGGGUGCUUUGGCGUUGGCUGUGGCCUAAGUUCCUUGGAACAGGACGUCGCAGAGGGUGAGAAUCCCGUAUGUGGCCGCCAGCCUCCGCCGUGUAAAGCCCCUUCGAUGAGUCGAGUUGUUUGGGAAUGCAGCUCUAAAUGGGAGGUAAAUUUCUUCUAAAGCUAAAUACUGGCCAGAGACCGAUAGCGCACAAGUAGAGUGAUCGAAAGAUGAAAAGCACUUUGGAAAGAGAGUCAAAAAGCACGUGAAAUUGUUGAAAGGGAAGCGCUUGCAGCCAGACUUGCCUGUAGUUGCUCAUCCGGGCUUAUGCCCGGUGCACUCUUCUACGGGCAGGCCAGCAUCAGCCCGGGCGGUCGGAUAAAUGCCUGCUAAACGUACCUCUCCUCGGGGAGGACUUAUAGGGCAGGCGGCAUACGACCAGCCUGGGCUGAGGUCCGCGCAUCUGCUAGGAUGCUGGCGUAAUGGCUGUAAGCGGCCCU